rnacentral:rRNA from 1 species
CUGCUCACCAUGAUCGCUGGCGGGCGACCCUAAUACAUGCUUGUCGAGCGAAUGGAUUUAGAGCUUGCUCUUAUGAAGUUAGCGGCGGACGGGUGAGUUUCACGUGGGUAACCUGCCCAUAAGACUGGGAUAACUCCGGGAAACCCCCGCUAAUACCGGAUAACAUUUUGAACUGCAUGGUUCGAAAUUGAAAGGCGGCUUCGGCUGUCACUUAUGGAUGGACCCGCGUCGCAUUAGCUAGUUGGUGAGGUAACGGCUCACCAAGGCAACGAUGCCAAGCCGACCUGAGAGGGUGAUCGGCCACACUGGGACUGACUCACGGCCCAGACUCCUACGGGAAGCAGCAGUAGGGAAACUUGGGCAAUGGACGAAAGUCUGACGGAGCAACGCCGCGUGAGUGAUGUUCCCUUUCGGGUCGUAAAACUCUGUUGUUAGGGUUCAACAAGUGCUAGUUGAAUUUGCUGGCAGGAUGACGGUUGGUAACCAGAAAGCCACGGCUAACUACGUGCCAGCAGGGGCGGUUUUACGUAGGUGGCUUGCGAAAUCCGGAAUUAAAGGGCGUAAAGCGCGCGCAGGUGGUUUCUUAAGUCUGAUGUGAAAGCGGUCGGCUCAACCGUGGAGGGUCAAAGGAAACUGGGAGACUUGUCUGCAGAAGAGGUUAGUGGAAUUCCAAAAGUAGCGGUGAAAUGCGUAGAGAUAUGGAGGUACACCAGUGGCGUUGGCGACAAGCUGGUCUGUAACUGACACUGAGGCGCGAAAGCGUGGGGAGCAAACAGGAUUAGAUACCCUGGUAGUCCACGCCGUAAACGAUGAGUGCUAAGUGUUAGAGGGUUUCCGCCCUUUAGUGCUGAAGUUAACGCAUUAAGCACUCCGCCUGGGGAGUACGGCCGCAAGGCUGAAACUCAAAGGAAUUGACGGGGGCCCGCACAAGCGGUGGAGCAUGUGGUUUAAUUCGAAGCAACGCGAAGAAGGAAACCAGGUCAAGACAUCCUCUGUUUCCCUAGAGAUAGGGCAACUCCUUCGGGAGCAGAGUGACAGGUGGUGCAUGGUUGUCGUCAGCUCGUGUCGUGAGAUGUUGGGUUAAGUCCCGCAACGAGCGCAACCCUUGAUCUUAGUUGCCAUCAUUAAGUUGGGCACUCUAAGGUGACUGCCGGUGACAAACCGGAGGAAGGUGGGGAUGACGUCAAAUCAUCAUGCCCCUUAUGACCUGGGCUACACACGUGCUACAAUGGACGGUACAAAGAGCUGCAAGACCGCGAGGUGGAGCUAAUCUCAUAAAACCGUUCUCAGUUCGGAUUGUAGGCUGCAACUCGCCUACAUGAAGCUGGAAUCGCUAGUAAUCGCGGAUCAGCAUGCCGCGGUGAAUACGAAGGCGGGCCUUGUACACACCGCCCGUCACACCACGUCUGUUUGUAACACCCGAAGUCGGUGGGGUAACCGAAAGGAGCCAGCCGCCUAACCUGGGACAGAUGAUUGGGGUGAAGUCGUAACAGGUAUUCCGUAAUUGGCUUG